rnacentral:ncRNA from 2 species
GGGAAUCCGGUGCGAAUCCGGAACUGUCCCGCAACGGUGUGAAGUGCACCUGUUCGUGCAACUACAAGUCCGAGGACC